rnacentral:rRNA from 1 species
AAUGAACGCUGGCGGCAUGCCUUACACAUGCAAGUCGAACGGCAGCAUGACCUAGCUUGCUAGGUUGAUGGCGAGUGGCGAACGGGUGAGUAAUGCAUCGGAACGUGCCUUUUAGUGGGGGAUAACGUAGCGAAAGUUACGCUAAUACCGCAUAUUCUCUGAGGAGGAAAGCAGGGGACCUUCGGGCCUUGCGCUAGAAGAGCGGCCGAUGUCGGAUUAGCUAGUUGGUGAGGUAAAGGCUCACCAAAGCAACGAUCCGUAGCGGGUCUGAGAGGAUGAUCCGCCACACUGGGACUGAGACACGGCCCAGACUCCUACGGGAGGCAGCAGUGGGGAAUUUUGGACAAUGGGCGCAAGCCUGAUCCAGCCAUGCCGCGUGAGUGAAGAAGGCCUUCGGGUUGUAAAGCUCUUUCGGCUGGGAAGAAAUCGCACCCUCUAAUACAGGGUGUGGAUGACGGUACCAGCAUAAGAAGCACCGGCUAACUACGUG